ACGAACGCUGGCGGCGUGCUUAACACAUGCAAGUCGAACGAAGAGCGAUGGAAGCUUGCUUCUAUCAAUCUUAGUGGCGAACGGGUGAGUAACGCGUAAUCAACCUGCCCUUCAGAGGGGGACAACAGUUGGAAACGACUGCUAAUACCGCAUACGAUCUAAUCUCGGCAUCGAGGAUAGAUGAAAGGUGGCCUCUACAUGUAAGCUAUCACUGAAGGAGGGGAUUGCGUCUGAUUAGCUAGUUGGAGGGGUAACGGCCCACCAAGGCGAUGACCAGUAGCCGGUCUGAGAGGAUGAACGGCCACAUUGGGACUGAGACACGGCCCAGACUCCUACGGGAGGCAGCAGUGGGGAAUCUUCCGCAAUGGACGAAAGUCUGACGGAGCAACGCCGCGUGAGUGAUGACGGCCUUCGGGUUGUAAAGCUCUGUUAAUCGGGACGAAAGGCCUUCUUGCGAAUAGUGAGAAGGAUUGACGGUACCGGAAUAGAAAGCCACGGCUAACUACGUG
rnacentral:rRNA from 1 species